rnacentral:rRNA from 1 species
AACGAACGCUGGCGGCAUGCCUAACACAUGCAAGUCGAACGAGACCUUCGGGUCUAGUGGCGCACGGGUGCUUAACGCGUGGGAACCUGCCCUUAGGUUCGCAAUAACUCCCCGAAGGGGGUGCUAAUACCGGUUAAUGUCUUCGGACCAAAGAUUUAUCGCCUUUGGAUGGGCCCGCGUUGGAUUAGCUAGUUGGUAGGGUAAAAGCAUACCAAGGCGACGAUCCAUAGCUGGUCUGAGAGGAUGAUCAGCCACACUGGGACUGAGACACGGCCCAGACUCCUACGGGAGGCAGCAGUGGGGAAAAUUGGACAAUGGGCGAAAGCCUGAUCAAGCAAUGCCGCGUGAGUGAUGAAGGCCGUAGGGUUGUAAAGCUCUUUUACACGGGAUGAUAAUGACAGUAACGGGAGAAUAAGCACCGGCUAACUCCGUG